rnacentral:rRNA from 1 species
UACGAAGGGGGCUAGCGUUGCUCGGAAUCACUGGGCGUAAAGCGCACGUAGGCGGACUUUUAAGUCGGGGGUGAAAUCCUGGAGCUCAACUCCAGAACUGCCUUCGAUACUGGGAGUCUUCGAGUCCGGGAGAGGUGAGUGGAACUGCGAGUGUAGAGGUGAAAUUCGUAGAUAUUCGCAAGAACACCAGUGGCGAAGGCGGCUCACUGGCCCGGUACUGACGCUGAGGUGCGAAAGCGUGGGGAGCAAACAGG